UCAAUGAAGGAAUUGUGGAGAAUGUUGAAUGGCGACAUUUGGUUGGAGGGAAUAGAAUAGCCAUUCCCCCCUUAUUCUUGGAUGAACAGUUAAGCCAUAGUUUGCUUCGCCAUUUUCUUCAUUCGGCGAAUUUACCGAAUCAUCAUUCGGUGAAGGGGCUCAGAAUAGCUUAUUCAACAACUGACGUAAUAGCAAAAUUCCCCCCAGACAAAUUUACCUUGUAUUUGUUCACCCAUCGUUCGUCAAUUUCGUCAUUGUUGUAAAAGUUGUGCCUCCGUCGAUUCUGUCAUUGAGAACCAUCGAUUCUCCGACUCGUUCCCAGCCCCCGUAAAGCUACCUCAUUUCCCUUGGAUGAGCAGAGAAUUUGGACCAAUUUGAAUGUGAUGGGUUUAUAGUGGAUGAUGAAGAGGAGGAGGAAGACGAAAAUGAUCAAGUUUUGAAAAGUAAGAAGACGAAAAAGAAAAAGGGAAAAGGAAACUGAACUGUUUAAGCGGCUUAAAAAGGUUGGAAAACGUACUAAGGUGGUUGAGCAAUCUGGUUCUUCUGAUGAUGAGGUUUACAGAAAGGCUUGCUUUAAUGCUGCCAAAAUGGGAUUCCCAGCUUGGGUACUUUGGAUUAUAAAAGAAUUAGACAAAAUGUGGUUGCUCCUUCAGAAGCGUAAGAGUGUGCAUCAGAUGCACUAAAGGAAAAUUUACGAUGAGGAAUGUCUGAAGAUUGAUAACAGUGAAAAGUAUACUUUGAAUAAGCAAUUAUUCGAAUCAAUAUCAAAGUCUCUCAAUGAAGCUGAAACGAAAGAGAGAUUGAUGACGUGGAUGCAAAGUAUACUUUGAAUAAGUUGUUAUCUGAGUUCAACAUAAUCUACACCAUCUAUGAUUUAUGUUAUUUAGAUUCAUUCAAUUGUAGGUGUUGAGUAGGGUAUGUAUGAUGUAUCUAAAGUAGGUCUAUUCAAUAUUUUUGAGAUUUUUAUUACAAAAUUCUUAAAAGAUCUAUAUUUAA